rnacentral:lncRNA from 1 species
GCCGAUUGUAAGAAAUGUUGGAAAGUAUUUUAAUUAAGGAUUGUUUUUGUCAAGUCGGCAAGCAUCUGAGGAUUAACUGGAAUUAAUUUAAACGGUAAUUAAAAGACAAACAGACAGUGAUACACAAGACACAGCACCCAGCAGUGAAUCUUUGCCUAACCAGUGUGUGUCAUCACCGCCUGAAUCACAAGAUACAAGUAAUGUUGUUCAAGAGCAAGAGCCGGAAAACAACCUCCAAGAAAAGUUGAAUGUCAACGCCAACCAAACACCCAGAGUGAUUCGUAAAGCAAAACACAAGCUAGGGUUUGACAUAGAAUGGACACGCAACAGACCAUGGUUGUUACAUAAAUUAGAAAUGAUAAAUGAAAAAAGUGUUGAGGUCAUGAUCUGUACUUUGUGUCAGAAACAUAAGACAUUAGGGAAAAACGGAAGUGAUUCAUGGUCAAAAUCAGGUUAUAAAAGCCUCCGUCUUGAUAAGGUGAAAGAGCAUGAGGAUUCUUCUCAACACAAAGAAGCUGUAACUCUUGAAACAAAGUCACAAGUAACAAUUGAA